rnacentral:lncRNA from 1 species
UUUUUUUUUUUUUUUUUUGUUUUCUAACAUUUAUUAAUAUAUAGUAUGUAAUAAGUAUGGAAUGCAUUAUAUUAUUGAGGUAUAUUAUUUUUUUACCAGUCUAUUCUUGCAAAUAUAAUUUAGAAAUACCUUUAUAGGUUUUCUUCAUUUAAUUCAAUGUAAAACUAGAAAUGCAAACGAUUAUGCUAAGGCUUACAGUUAACAUAAAUAUUUAAUUGAAUCCUUACUUUUUAACUAGCUGGUACAUACCACAGAUAGGAUUUUACAUGAUGUGACCUUUCAUUCUCCCACUGAUCUGUAAACCUAAAAUAAUCUAUUUUCAUGCCGUAAGCAGAUGUUCCCUGAGUCUGUGUGUGCAGACCACUUGUCCCAGUGAACAAUUGGAGGUGGGCACAUUUGGGGGGCUGGUAUAUUCCUGAAUUAAACAUGACUGAGCUGCAUGUCUGGGCUGGUGGGCAAUAACCAGAGAAAGUUGAUUCUGGUGGUGUCAUUAGAACUCACACAAGGUCGUAGCUCAAUUUAAAAAUUGUACAGCUAACAACUAAAGCAAUUGGAAAGAGGGCGAUCAGAGCAGCACAGAGGAAAAGCUGCCUACAUCAAAUAGAGCUGGUCUUUGAUAUCAAACCCUCUGAACAGACUUUAAUUAGGUGCUGAGAUUGAAAUCUUUGCCUUUUGAGGCAUUGGUGGUGCUGUUCACAGCUGUUUGUGCCGGGCACACAUGGACACACAGCCUGGUGGCCAGAGAGACCAUGGGAAUAGCUGCCAAUUAAGCCUUUGGCUACCAUAAUUCCAAGUAUGGAAUAUGGCUGUCAGCUUUCUAAAUAAAUGGGACUUUAUGUCCCAAUCCCCCUGGUGCUUCUGAACCGGGAUGAUUCAAUUUAAGUGGGACACCCAGGAGCUGAAGGAGCAGACAAGGAAGAUGGAGAGAGUCUUUACGAGGGCCUGGAGUGACAGAACAAGGGGAAUGGCUUUAAGCUGAAGGAGGGCAGGGUUAGAUGGGAUUUUAGCAGGAAAUCCUUCCCUGUGAAGGUGGGCAGGCCCUGGCACAGGAUGGCUGGAGAAGCUUGUGGCUGCCCCUGGAUCUCCGGCAGUGUCCAAGGCCAGGCUGGAUGGGGCUUGGAAUAGUGUGGGCUAAUCUAAGGUGUCCCUGCCCAUGGCAGGGGUGGCGCUGGAUGAGAUUUAAGGUCCCAUCCAACCUAAACCAGUCUGGGAUCCUGUGAUUUAUGUCCAGAUCCCACUGGUGCUCCUGAGAGGGGCAGGUUGGGAUGGUGCCUGUGGAUGGGGACCAGGGUCCAGCUCUGUGAUCCUGCUGAGCAGAGCUGUGGUGUCUCAGCUACCUGAAGGUGGCCUUUGGCUACAGCAGCCUAUUUCUUCCAGUCAUACCAACUUUGGGGUGUGCAGCUUGCUUGGGGGAGCAGAGCCUGCUCCAGGUGCUCUGCCUGGGAUUCUGAGAUGCCAAAAGGAGUGGGAUGGGCAUGGAGUGAAGGGAGAUGCUGCUGGGGAGAACAACCUCAGGUGCAGGAAUCCUGAUUCCCUCAGUCUCUCAGCAUGCCUUCAGUCCAGCUCUGGGCUCUUCCUCACACCCUCACAGUGCUCAGAAUGGUUAGAAUUCAUUCCAGCAGUGACUACAAACUCACCAACAUCAGGUGUGGGAAGAGUGAGAGGUUCAGACCCUAAAUAAAUUGGAAAGUAACAGAUAGAAAAAUAGCAAGGGAAAAAUAUAAGACCAUGGAAAUAUUUCCCUAUUAAUUAUGUCACAGUCCACUGGAGCUACUGUGAAUGUUGCACAGAGAGGUGUCAUUGAUGCUGCUCAUCAUUUCUUUGCUUAGCAGUUUGUCCUGGGGGCUGUCAGCAGCUGCAGCAGCCCCACUGCCUGAGCAAACACAUCACAAACCCUCUGCCUUACACACCACAAACCUUUAGUGUCUGAUGGAGCAGAAGAUGUUCCCAUGAGCUGCUUGUGAGUUAUUACAAUUUUGUAGCUGAACGUUUCCAAUAAGUGAUUCUCUAACUUCAUGGAAAAAAGAGCUCAUCUUUCUUAAAUGAGCUCUUCCUUCAUCAUGAACGAUUUCCCAAGCUCUGUUCCUGAUGCCCUGCAAGUCACAGCCAGCAUGCCAGUGACACAGCCUCGUUCUUUUGAUGAAGUCUUUCAAUAAUCACCUUUGCCAAUAGGCACUUUUCCCCCCCUCCACAGAUACUCCAUUCUUUCAUUAUUUUCUGGAUUAGGACCAGAUUCUCUGUCAGCCAAGGUUUUCCAGGAUCUCAUCAAUAAAACUCUGAAUUAGCAGACAUGAUUCCAAAGAAGGUGUUUGAUACUAUCAUUCCUCCAAGAGCAUUCCCAUACCCUUCCCUAGCAAAUUUCAUUUUAUGAUACAUUGUCCUUUGUUAGCACAACAAAGUGAAACAGAUUUUAACCCAUACAGAGAAAUUUAAAUUCAGUUUUUCAUUUUAUAACCUUUUGUAUGGAAAUUAUUUUCUUUUACAAGGGUACUGCGCAUUCUAGACACUUGGCAUUGAAUUUAGAAAAGCCCUGGAAAAGAAAAGCAUGCUUUUAUAAAACUUACAACAACCUGUAGAAAAAAUGAAAAUAAAAACCUGAUUUUUUGAAUAAUGAAUUAUUUCUGGGGAAGGCUAAGAAGCUGAUUUGUUAUUCAGAAUGAGUGACCUACUGCACUUCUUCCCAGUGAGCAUGGAAAAAAAAUAUAAUUGGGCUUCCUAACAAUGGCAUUUAGCAUCAAAAUACAGUUAGAGGCUUCAUUACUGAGACUCUGGAUAGAAGUGACUUGGUAAGAGUCUAUCAGCAUAGAACUCUUCUGCACAGCAUUUCGAAGUUAACUGCUAAAGAACAAAACUAUUCAGUGCAUAAAGAAACCUAUUAAGGCUGUACAAUACUUGAAUGAAGAUGUGUUUACAGAGGCAUUCCUCAGAACAAGGAAUAUUUCCCUUUGUUCACAGUUCAGAACACAGAGUUGGUGCAUUCCUGCGCCAUCUCCCAGCCCUUAACUUUACAGCAGUCAAAUGAGAUUUUCCUCUCAUGUCCUUGACUCUGCAGUCUGCUUAGAACUCGGCCUUCAAAGUGCACCUGUGAAUCUCAGUGUUUAGAGGAAUAUGUAACUGCUGGCUUUAGCACUUAGCCUUGUUCAUAAAAUACACAGUCUAUAACCUAUCCUGCAAUUUAAAUGCAAAUAAUAUUUAAACAAGGCUAAUCUGGUAAGCUUUUGUGUGUAGAGUGAUAUAUGGGAUGGAGAUGUUUGAGGUGCAAUAGUUUACUGCUCUGAAUUCCUUUUCACAUCAAUCAUCUCUCCACAUGCAUCAACAAUUAAAAUGGUUCAUGGCUGCAGGGACUAUGACAAACUAACAUCAUCAUUUAAAUGCCCAUGAAAGCACCUUUGAGCAUAAGAAGCUGAUAGGAAAUGAUAAAAUGUUAAUUAUAAGUUGUAAGCAAAACCAAGUACCUCUAUUCAUCAGUGACCUGCUGAUUAUAAAUAGAGCUUGUUUGUACAGCCACCAUACACACAGAAAAAUGUGCUGUGGUGGGGGCUGGUCUCAUUUAAUGUUUUCUGUAUAAAUCAGCCGUGGCCAGCUCUGCCUGUUGCCAGGGGAAACACAUUUUUACUUCACUUUCCCAUCUUAUCACAAGGAUAUAAUGGAGUAAGUGUCCCUCCACCCAGAGAAGAUAUCAAGAAGUUAAUCACAAAAGUCAGAUUUUUCAUCCUUUCCUAAAAGGGGCUUGCAAUGGGUGUGUCAUGAUCAGCCAUUCCUCUCCAGGCACUUCCUGCCCCUGUCCAGGCUAAAGGGACUGCUGACACUCAUUUUUCCAUCUUCCAGAUGGCUCCUUAGAUUUGCAGUGUCAAUUUAAAUUGAUGCUGACACAACCCAAAGAGGGUAUUUUUUUUUUCUCGGUCCUGCAAUCAGGGUAGUGAUUCUGAAUUGUGUUUAAAAUGAUUCUCCACUUUCCUCUUCCUUGGCUGUAAACCAGUUCUCACUGUGACCAUGCUCUAAAAAAAUAUCAUGAGUCUGUUUUAUUUGAUCUGUAGAAAUGAACUGCAAAACUGUAGCAGGAAUUAGAGAGCUAGAAACAUAUUUUUCUUAGAAUGUAGACCUAGAAUGAAUUUUUUUUGAGUAAAAAAGUAGGCUUGACUGUAAAUAUGUUUAUACCAUUUUCUAUAAAUAUAAACUCAUUUGCCACAGGACUAUUUUUCUAGUGCAUAAUUCCCUGUGCAGUUAUGUAAACUGAUACUAAAUCUAUGUAACAAGGUGACCUUUUUUCUAAUCCCAAGAAACACCUGAAUAUAGUAAUAUUCUAGAACUUUGCCUUAUUUAUUCCUAUUUUUAAACCUUUGUCACUAUAAUUUUUUUAAUUAAACUGGCCCUUGCAUCACUAUAGUUCCUUGUUAAAAAAAGGCACAUUUCUGCCUAUAAUCACUUCCAUUUUCCUUUUUUCUACAACCACUUUCCGAGAAGCUAAUCGAUACCUGGAAUAUUUGCACUUCCACGCUGCCAAAUCCAAGAACUGUGGGUUACCUGUGAAACUUGGAGCAAAACCAUGACCCAGCACAGAGCAGCAGGAGUUUUCAGGCUUACAUCCUGAUGUCUGUAACCAAGACAAAGGCAGUGGGAGUUUGGAGAAGAGCAGUGAAUAAGCAAGAAAAGUCACUCUACAACAAAGCACCAUGUCAGGUCAAUAUGAAAAAGGAGCUCGAAAUGGAGAGAAAGCAUUCCUUUGCUUCAGUCUCAAACAUGAAAAAAAAAAAAAAAAAAAAAAA